GACGAACGCUGGCGGCGUGCUUAACACAUGCAAGUCGAACGGAAAGGCCCUGCUUGCAGGGUACUCGAGUGGCGAACGGGUGAGUAACACGUGGGUGAUCUGCCCUGCACUUCGGGAUAAGCCUGGGAAACUGGGUCUAAUACCGGAUAGGAGCCAUUUUUAGUGUGAUGGUUGGAAAGUUUUUUCGGUGUAGGAUGAGCUCGCGGCCUAUCAGCUUGUUGGUGGGGUAAUGGCCUACCAAGGCGGCGACGGGUAGCCGGCCUGAGAGGGUGGACGGCCACAUUGGGACUGAGAUACGGCCCAGACUCCUACGGGAGGCAGCAGUGGGGAAUAUUGCACAAUGGGCGCCAGCCUGAUGCAGCGACGCCGCGUGUGGGAUGACGGCCUUCGGGUUGUAAACUCCUUUCGCUAGGGACGAAGCUUUUUGUGACGGUACCUAGAUAAGAAGCACCGGCUAACUACGUG
rnacentral:rRNA from 1 species